AAAUUGAAGAGUUUGAUCAUGGCUCAGAUUGAACGCUGGCGGCAGGCCUAACACAUGCAAGUCGAGCGGUAGCACAGAGAGCUUGCUCUCGGGUGACGAGCGGCGGACGGGUGAGUAAUGUCUGGGAAACUGCCUGAUGGAGGGGGAUAACUACUGGAAACGGUAGCUAAUACCGCAUAACGUCGCAAGACCAAAGUGGGGGACCUUCGGGCCUCAUGCCAUCAGAUGUGCCCAGAUGGGAUUAGCUAGUAGGUGGGGUAACGGCUCACCUAGGCGACGAUCCCUAGCUGGUCUGAGAGGAUGACCAGCCACACUGGAACUGAGACACGGUCCAGACUCCUACGGGAGGCAGCAGUGGGGAAUAUUGCACAAUGGGCGCAAGCCUGAUGCAGCCAUGCCGCGUGUGUGAAGAAGGCCUUCGGGUUGUAAAGCACUUUCAGCGGGGAGGAAGGCGAUAAGGUUAAUAACCUUGUCGAUUGACGUUACCCGCAGAAGAAGCACCGGCUAACUCCGUGCCAGCAGCCGCGGUAAUACGGAGGGUGCAAGCGUUAAUCGGAAUUACUGGGCGUAAAGCGCACGCAGGCGGUCUGUCAAGUCGGAUGUGAAAUCCCCGGGCUCAACCUGGGAACUGCAUUCGAAACUGGCAGGCUAGAGUCUUGUAGAGGGGGGUAGAAUUCCAGGUGUAGCGGUGAAAUGCGUAGAGAUCUGGAGGAAUACCGGUGGCGAAGGCGGCCCCCUGGACAAAGACUGACGCUCAGGUGCGAAAGCGUGGGGAGCAAACAGGAUUAGAUACCCUGGUAGUCCACGCCGUAAACGAUGUCGAUUUGGAGGUUGUGCCCUUGAGGCGUGGCUUCCGGAGCUAACGCGUUAAAUCGACCGCCUGGGGAGUACGGCCGCAAGGUUAAAACUCAAAUGAAUUGACGGGGGCCCGCACAAGCGGUGGAGCAUGUGGUUUAAUUCGAUGCAACGCGAAGAACCUUACCUGGUCUUGACAUCCACAGAACUUUCCAGAGAUGGAUUGGUGCCUUCGGGAACUGUGAGACAGGUGCUGCAUGGCUGUCGUCAGCUCGUGUUGUGAAAUGUUGGGUUAAGUCCCGCAACGAGCGCAACCCUUAUCCUUUGUUGCCAGCGGUUCGGCCGGGAACUCAAAGGAGACUGCCAGUGAUAAACUGGAGGAAGGUGGGGAUGACGUCAAGUCAUCAUGGCCCUUACGACCAGGGCUACACACGUGCUACAAUGGCAUAUACAAAGAGAAGCGACCUCGCGAGAGCAAGCGGACCUCAUAAAGUAUGUCGUAGUCCGGAUUGGAGUCUGCAACUCGACUCCAUGAAGUCGGAAUCGCUAGUAAUCGUAGAUCAGAAUGCUACGGUGAAUACGUUCCCGGGCCUUGUACACACCGCCCGUCACACCAUGGGAGUGGGUUGCAAAAGUAGGUAGCUUAACCUUCGGGAGGGCGCUUACCACUUUGUGAUUCAUGACUGGGGUGAAGUCGUAACAAGGUAACCGUAGGGGAACCUGCGGUUGGAUCACCUCCUUACCUUAAAGAA
rnacentral:rRNA from 1 species